rnacentral:misc_RNA from 1 species
AAUUUAUUUGUUUCAUUGACUAACAGUUAGCUGUAAUCUUCAAGUCGCAUCAAACUCUUCUAUCUAGCAACCUUCCAUCCACAAAGCUUUGUACAUAAAACACAAAUUGCAUAUGAAAUUUGUAGAAAAAUUCCUGAAUAUGCAACUGUAGCUAUAGCAGGGAAUUCACCUUUGUGCUGGGCGGUGAUAUUCAUCUACUCUCGCUUAUCCUCCUCAAGAUCUUCUCCCAGUCCCUUCCUUUCUAGCUUAGUUGCAAUAUCCACACUGCUUGUUAAAGAGAUACCCUCCUCCUCGAAGUCCUCUCCUGUCUCCUCCAAAUAUGCAUAUCUGGUUGGGUUACGUGAAGGAGCCCAGAGGAUACAAAUCACCACCAAAAGAGAGUAUGCAAGCAGAGUCCAGAAAGCAGGAUGAUCCAAGCAACUUGCCAUAGCUCACUUAGUGGGUCAGUUGCAUUAAAGUAAAGCUCAAAGCCAAUCCAAGCAAUGGAAAGCAGAACAGAGACUGCAAGAGAAUUGGUAAACUUUCGGUAUAGAUCUAGUUUAGCUGUGUUUCUCCUCAUCUGAAGCUUCUCUAAAGUUUUUGAUAGAGAUGAGAAGAUCCAGACGAUAAAGCAGGAAUCUAGGAAAGCAACAGGAAGCACUAAAAAUAAUUCUGUUUUCUUAGACAAGUCAUUGAUGUUCCCUAGAUGUUCAACUAGCUCAAGUGCCUCUGAGGCAAUAAAAUAUAUCAGACCAAGAAGAAGUACUCUUGAUGUUAUACCACCAAGGGUUGGCUUUACUACACCAUAGCCCAUGGAGACAACCAAAAGGAGGAGGCGAGAUAAGGUCUUCUUCACAGUCCUAAAGGUGACAGCCCACAGUGUAACACCCAUUGGCCUUGAUCCAGUUGAAUUAAAAUUAGCAUAUUCAAAAUACCAUACAGCCAUUUCACACAUUCCAAGUGCAAUGACUGCUGUGAUGUGGUAGUGCAGCUGUAUGACGUCCUUCCAGAAUUGAACAAACCUUAAGAACCAGAUUAGUCCUAGUGCAAGGUAAGCCAAAGACAUGAUUCCAUAAAAUGUCAUCAGAGGAGUCAUCUUCCCAGGUAAAUAACCAUUAGGAUUCUUCCAUACAGUCCUUCCCUUGAUCAAGGUUCCCUUAAGUUCUGGAUUGCAAAACAUGAAAUAAAGGUAGUACAUUCCAGUAGCAUUUAUUUCCACAGUUUCAGGUUUCAUUAUAGCUUCUUCAUUUUUUCCCGCAAAGGAGGUUCGAAUGCGUUUGGGCCAGUCUUGGUUGUCUUGGUCUUUCUGGAUAAUUACCUCUCCUAAUGUACAGGACCCAGUCUGAGCAAGAGUAGGGUGACAGCAUAUCGCAUUAGUUUUUAGGAAUGCCCCUCCAAUCCUUUCUCUGUCUUUCACCUCAAAUAUGAUGGCUUCUACCAAUCCAGUGCUCUCCUGCAUUUCGUUCUGCUUACUGGCAGCCUCCUUUGUCCUAACAAAGGUGACAUCUUCAAACCUGAUGAAGGAUUUUCCUUGGAGGGGCUUAUCAGAGGAAGAAUCAGAGGAAUCAUGAACCUUAGAAGAGUAGAGGCCUUCACUGCCGCCAUGGGAGAAGAAGCCAUUGGACCGUGGAAUAAACUCUUCGUUUUGGUACUCAUGAAUCGAUGCACUUACCUCUCUGAUUGAACAACAAAUUGUGCAAAAUAACAGUAAGCCUACCAAAAACUUCAGUCUACAUCGCCUAUAGGACCAGAUUUGUCCGUCUUCCAUCUCCGAUUAUUCUAUUCUUCUUCUCUCUUUCUUUCUCUGACUCCAGUCUCUUCUUC